GGAAGAGUAACACGUGGGCAACCUGCCUAUAAGACUGGGAUAACUUCGGGAAACCGGAGCUAAUACCGGAUACGUUCUUUUCUCGCAUGAGAGAAGAUGGAAAGACGGUUCAUGCUGUCACUUAUAGAUGGGCCCGCGGCGCAUUAGCUAGUUGGUGAGGUAAUGGCUCACCAAGGCGACGAUGCGUAGCCGACCUGAGAGGGUGAUCGGCCACACUGGGACUGAGACACGGCCCAGACUCCUACGGGAGGCAGCAGUAGGGAAUCUUCCGCAAUGGACGAAAGUCUGACGGAGCAACGCCGCGUGAACGAAGAAGGCCUUCGGGUCGUAAAGUUCUGUUGUUAGGGAAGAACAAGUACCAGAGUAACUGCUGGUACCUUGACGGUACCUAACCAGAAAGCCACGGCUAACUACGUGCCAGCAGCCGCGGUAAUACGUAGGUGGCAAGCGUUGUCCGGAAUUAUUGGGCGUAAAGCGCGCGCAGGUGGUUCCUUAAGUCUGAUGUGAAAGCCCACGGCUCAACCGUGGAGGGUCAUUGGAAACUGGGGAACUUGAGUGCAGAAGAGGAAAGUGGAA
rnacentral:rRNA from 2 species